CGCGACUCCGGAAUUGACGCGUCACACGUGUAUGUCAUGGUCUUGCUGUGGAAAUACUUAUUUCUCCUUGCAGCAUUGAACUUUUUCAAAGCUUCCUGAUUUGUUACAAAGUUGUGGCGAAGAAAGCAAUCAAGCAAGUGGAGGCUGUCGCAUUGAAUGAUGUCAAGCUGGAGAUCCUGACAGUGCACAAGGUAGUGGUCCAGAUUGGCUGCAGGAGCAGACUGUUGGAUGUCUCUCUGAGAGCCUGUCUGUCCUCUAUGAGCACUGAUCACUAAUCGCACUUAACAGAAAGCAUUACUUCCUGUCUGGAUAGCUUUAAGAUAGGUCCUCUGUGCCCCGCCUCUCUCAAACACAUCGAAUUCUACAAAGUCCCUCCUUCUGACAACUGCAGUCUGCUCUGAUUGGCCAACUGACCCAGUGGAUUAUAAUUGGCCAAACACCACAAGCACUCGUUGAAAAUAUAACAUCUCUUUCCAUAUUCAUGGGCUUCAUCUUUCAAAAUAAAUAUAGAGACCAUUAAUAACAUCCUUAAUUUUACUAUCAAUUCAAGCUCGAAAGAGGAACAGAGUCAUGUGACAGACACAGUGAUGAAUCGUGUGUGUGCUUGCUGUACACAAGUAAUGAAGGUGAACACAGCUGACUCCACUGUGUGACCGUCUCUCUCUCUCACUGACACACACACAUACGUGACACGCAAAACUCUGCAUUUGAACAUGUAAUAGCAAAUACUAAAAACUAAUAGCAACACAUACUUACCGUAGCUGAUGCAAAAGUGUCAGAUUGUCGUAGCAAAGUCAGAAUGACCUCCUCUCCUAGGUUAAUAAAACGGUCAUCCAUAAAAUGUGUUUCUGUUCUGUUGUAAGUAAUUUUAAAGAUUCCUAAAUACAUCUACUUUCAGAAGGCCAAAUAAAGUGCUUUUGCUUUCUCCUAGAUACACACAGCAUCUCCCUGAGAUGACUGCUUCAACGCUAACUGGUUACUGAAACUGCUUUCUUUGCGUGAACAUUUGGGCGACAUUAUGCAAAUAUUUCCACAUAGUUAAAGUGACGUGACAUGACCCAUUCUCAGAAUUCGUGCUCUGCAUUUAUCCAAAGUGCACACAAACAGCAGUGAACACACACACACAAC
rnacentral:lncRNA from 1 species